rnacentral:tRNA from 1 species
GCCCGGAUGGUGAAAUUGGUAGACACAAGGGACUUAAAAUCCCUCGGCUUUAAAAGCUUUGCGGGUUCAAGUCCCGCUCCGGGUACCA